rnacentral:rRNA from 1 species
AGCGAACGCUGGCGGCAGGCCUAACACAUGCAAGUCGAACGAAGUCUUCGGACUUAGUGGCGGACGGGUGAGUAACACGUGGGAACGUGCCUUUAGGUUCGGAAUAACUCAGGGAAACUUGUGCUAAUACCGAAUGUGCCCUUCGGGGGAAAGAUUUAUCGCCUUUAGAGCGGCCCGCGUCUGAUUAGCUAGUUGGUGAGGUAAAGGCUCACCAAGGCGACGAUCAGUAGCUGGUCUGAGAGGAUGAUCAGCCACAUUGGGACUGAGACACGGCCCAAACUCCUACGGGAGGCAGCAGUGGGGAAUCUUGCGCAAUGGGCGAAAGCCUGACGCAGCCAUGCCGCGUGGGGGAUGAAGGUCUCAGGAUUGUAAAAUUCUUUCACCGGGGACGAUAAUGACGGUACCCGGAGAAGAAGCCCCGGCUAACUUCGUGCCAGCAGCCGCCGUAACAC